AAUCACAUUUCUUUAUGCUAUUAGAGCCUAUCAUCUAACAAGACAAUUUUUCUUUUUCUUUUCCAAGAUGUCAACCAAUUUUGCUACUUCUUUUGCCUCUUGUUUCUUCAGCUUUUGCUACUCUUUCCACCUUUGAGAUAUCGGUUCAAUCUUCCAUCCUACCCUCUUCUCACUCUGUUUUCCAUGUUAGUAACAUCAAGAAUCACAUCUCUCUUGUUCUUGACUUCAAAAACUUUCUCCUGUGGCAGACUCUCUUCAUUACUAUCGCUCAUUGUUAUGAACUCUAUAAUUGUAUUGAUGCUAUAAUAGAUCCACCACCUCCAAUUAUUGUUUCUGGUGAAACUACUAGAUGAAUCCAACCUACAUUCUUUGAUUGCAGAUUGAUCACACUAUCAUAUUUUGGCUACAUGCUAGCAUCUCCCCUGAUAUUUUGAAACACGUUUUACAUCCCAGGAGAAGGCUUUCGGCUAGAGACACUUGGGCAGAAAUUGAAAAACUCUUCCAUGAUCAUGCCAAUGCAAAAUAUAUGCAAUUAAAGAGGGUUUUCAAUCAAGCCCAAAGGAACUCAUUCCAUGGCCGAAUAUCUCCAAUUUAUCAAAUCUACAGUUGACGACGAUGAUGUUAAUUUACACGUUUCAUGAGGCUUAUUUCUGAUUAUUCAGAUGUUGUGACAGUGGUGACCGUUUGCAAACCUUCGCCUUCCUUCUUGGAACUGCGCUCCUUUCUUUUAGCACAUGAAUCUCGCCUGCAACAAGAUACUAAUGGCUCUUUUUCUAAUCAAGCUAUGACAGUUUCAUGAUCUCAAGGUCGUGGUGGCUAUUCAAAUCGAUCCUUUCAUGGCAAUUUCCAAAGGGGCGAUCGUUAUCAACAACCAAGAGAGGCAACACUGGAGGCCAGCUAGCUCAGUUCAGGAGUUUUUUUAGGGUUCAAUGACCCAUUAUCAGCAUCAGAUCGGUGAGAAGAUAUCGCAGCUCGGCGAAUCAAUAUUGGCAGUAAUGGUGGAAGUUUAUCUGCCUUAUUUCAUCAUUAACCAAUCGUUUCUAGUGAAAUAAAUAGCAGCGGAAGGCUUGCGAGUCAAGAAGAGAAAUUGGCAAAAGUAUGGUAGCAUGCAGUGAAUAACAAGGGAGGAGCCGUCGCGGAGAGAGAGCGUGGGAGAGGGACCGAAAUGACAAUUUGACUACAGUAACAAAUUGUUGUUAAAGUCAUUCUAGAUAAAUUAAAUUUGCUACAGUAACACACUUGUAUAUAAAUUUUUAAGUCUAAUUAAACAAUAAAAUCAUAUUUUCACAAAA